GCUCGUGGGAAAGGCCGGGAGCUGGUUCGCGGCCGACCCGCUAAAGCGGAACAACCAGCUACGCAUGUAGAACUGUUUGUGGAUGGGCAUUUGGACGCGGGUUCGAUUCCCGCCGCCUCCACCA
rnacentral:tmRNA from 1 species